rnacentral:piRNA from 1 species
UACGACUGUGCUUUGACAAGG